rnacentral:lncRNA from 1 species
GAAAUCAUGAUUUUGUGCCCUCCAGUAACGCCCACCCCCCACGCAUUUUUUCCUUUGUGUUUUUUUAAAGGUUUGGAAGGAUAACCAUUUCGGUGCCCUGGGCGAGAUCGUUAGUUUGCAUUCUUCUUCCCCUCCGACUGCGUUCCCUCUUUUUUUCCCCUGAAGGUAUGGAGCGAUGCCCUCCCCCAGCUGGUGGCGCCCUUUGAGACCACCUAGUUCGCCUAUACCCAGAGCCAGCCCCGCUUAAGAUGAUAUUUAGUGUCUCUCUAUUUGAUAUCAAAAUUAAAUGUGCGACUUGAGUGUUUUUCUUUUAAUGCCUUUUGGUCUGCCGUAGCCCAGGAUCGUGACAGCUUCUGAUGGUGUCAUGUCAUGUCUUUCUCAGAACCUUUUUGUUGAGCACAGGGGCACCCGACGUCUCUUAUAUGCUCAGAGAACGUGUCAGGCGGCUUGACAUAUCGGACCCACGGGAGACCAAGAGGUGCGUGUUUGAUCAUCGCUAACUUGGCUUCUUCAGCCAGUCUCACUGACACAGUUCUGACCACAAAAGCUCCCAGUGCCACUGACAAUUUCUGUGAAGGAAAGACGGAUGGGAAUUACGCCAACCCCAGUAACCCAAAUUCAUUCUAUGGCUGUUCUAAUGGGCUGACAAACAUCUUGUGGUGCCCAGAAGACCUGGUCUUCAAACAGAGUUGCAACUGCUGUGACUGGCCCAGAACCAGGUCUGAUGGACUCGCCAGAGAUUUCUGUAAAGGAAAGAAGAAUGGAAAUUACUUCAACCCAAGCAACAUCAAUUCCUUCUACAGCUGUUCUAAUGGGCUGACCUACAUCAUGAAAUGCCCAGAAGAUCUGAUCUUUAACCAGCGAUUAAACGCCUGUGUGUGGCCCUAGCUCUCUUUGUUAGAAACUAAUUAAUGUUGAUUUAAAGUAACUAAUUGAUCAAAUCUAAUUGAAUCAAAGUAAUUUCUAUAAUGAUCACGUUGUAUCAGUACAUAACGGCUUUUACUGUGAUUUUGCUUUCAUUUGUUGUUCAUUUUAGUUAAUAGCUUGGUUAAUCUGCCUGUUGUCCAACAAGAACCGUCUGCUCUCCGACCUUAUCUAACUGUCCUGAUGUAUCCAAGAAAAAAAUCCAGCAAGGUUUCCACUUGUACUGUGUGCCACUGUGUGUGUGCAUGUGUUUUUUGUAUUGUAUUGUUUUGUACUGCAACUUGCUUCCACAGUCAGAUUGGACAUGGCGCCAUAGACGGCUGCCUGGGUGUGCCAACACCAAGACAAGUUCCCAGUUCUGUAGAGUGCACUCUACAGGACCUGGCAAUAAAGCUCUUUCUAAUUCUGAUUCUGAUUCUGAA